rnacentral:rRNA from 1 species
GUGGCUGGGGGUGAAAGGCCAAUCAAACCGGGAGAUAGCUGGUUCUCCCCGAAAUCUAUUUAGGUAGAGCCUUGAGCGGACACCUUCGGGGGUAGAGCACUGUUUCGGCUAGGGGUCCAUCCCGGAUUACCAACCCGAUGCAAACUACGAAUACCGAAGAGUGAUACUCAGGAGACACACGGCGGGUGCUAACGUCCGUCGUGGAGAGGGAAACAACCCAGACCGCCAGCUAAGGUCCCAAAGUCUAUAUUAAGUGGGAAACGAAGUGGGAAGGCUUAGACAGCUAGGAUGUUGGCUUAGAAGCAGCCAUCAUUUAAAGAAAGCGUAAUAGCUCACUAGUCGAGUCGGCCUGCGCGGAAGAUGUAACGGGGCUCAAAUAUAGCACCGAAGCUGCGGCAUCAGACGAAAGUCUGUUGGGUAGGGGAGCGUUCUGUAAGCGGAUGAAGGUGAAUCGAGAGGUUUGCUGGACGUAUCAGAAGUGCGAAUGCUGACAUAAGUAACGAUAAAACGGGUGAAAAACCCGUUCGCCGGAAGACCAAGGGUUCCUGUCCAACGUUAAUCGGGGCAGGGUGAGUCGGCCCCUAAGGCGAGGCUGAAAAGCGUAGUCGAUGGGAAACGGGUUAAUAUUCCCGUACUUGGAUAAACUGCGAUGUGGGGACGGAGCAGGUUAGGUUAUCGCACUGUUGGAUAUGUGCGUUUAAGUUGGUAGGUGAGAAGUUUAGGCAAAUCCGGACUUCUUUAACACCGAGAGAUGAUGACGAGGCUCUACGGAGCUGAAGUAACCGAUACCACACUUCCAGGAAAAGCCACUAAGCUUCAGGUUUAUCUAAACCGUACUGAAAACCGACACAGGUGGUCAGGUAGAGAAUACUCAGGCGCUUGAGAGAACUCGGGUGAAGGAACUAGGCAAAAUAGCACCGUAACUUCGGGAGAAGGUGCGCCGGCGUAGAUUGUAGUCCCUUGCGGAUGAAGGUUGAACCGGUCGAAGAUACCAGCUGGCUGCAACUGUUUAUUAAAAACACAGCACUCUGCAAACACGAAAGUGGACGUAUAGGGUGUGAUGCCUGCCCGGUGCUGGAAGGUUAAUUGAUGGUGUAAUCGAAAGAGAAGCUCCUGAUCGAAGCCCCAGUAAACGGCGGCCGUAACUAUAACGGUCCUAAGGUAGCGAAAUUCCUUGUCGGGUAAGUUCCGACCUGCACGAAUGGCAUAAUGAUGGCCAGGCUGUCUCCACCCGAGACUCAGUGAAAUUGAAAUCGCCGUGAAGAUGCGGUGUACCCGCGGCUAGACGGAAAGACCCCGUGAACCUUUACUAUAGCUUGACACUGAACAUUGAAUUUUGAUGUGUAGGAUAGGUGGGAGACUUAGAAGCAGUCACGCCAGUGAUUGUGGAGUCGACCUUGAAAUACCACCCUUUAACGUUUGAUGUUCUAACGAAGAUUACGAAACGUGGUCUCGGACAGUGUCUGGUGGGUAGUUUGACUGGGGCGGUCUCCUCCCAAAGAGUAACGGAGGAGCACGAAGGUUUGCUAAUGACGGUCGGACAUCGUCAGGUUAGUGCAAUGGUAUAAGCAAGCUUAACUGCGAGACAGACAAGUCGAGCAGGUACGAAAGUAGGUCAUAGUGAUCCGGUGGUUCUGAAUGGAAGGGCCAUCGCUCAACGGAUAAA